rnacentral:rRNA from 1 species
GGGCCACCACGAGGAGUGGAGCCUGCGUUUUAAUUUGACUCAACACGGAAAAACUUACCCGGCCCGGACACUGGGAGGAUUGACAGAUUGAUAGCUCUUUCUUGAUUGGGUGGGUGGUGGUGCAUGGCCGUUCUUAGUUGGGGGAGCGAUUUGUCUGAUUAAUUCCGAUAACGACCGAGACCCUAGCCUGCUAACUAGACUGUCACUUACCUCCUUGUAAGUCACAGGACUUCUUCGAGGGCCAGGCCCGCGACUCAACCAAAAGAAACAAAGCAAUUCCAAGUUUGUCUUGCCUUUAGGGUCCGGGGCCGAAGCGCGCUAGAUCGACGUGAUCAGCCUGCCAUAAUCAACCAGAAUAGGUACACCGGGAGACCCCACCAACAUUCUUCGUGAUGGGAUCUAGUAUUGCCAUUAAUGCGCGUGAACCAUGAAAUCCCCGGAAGUCUGGUCAUAAGAUCACGAUGAUUAUGCGCCCGCCCUAUGUACCAACUACCCGUGAUACUACCGAGCGAUUGACAU